UCACACUUUCUAAUGGACAGGUUACCUAGAGUUGUGGCCGGCAAUGUAGAGAUUCAUUUUCUGCUUUAUUGACGAUUCAACAGUGAUGAAUUGAGGUGUCCUCCUUUUCUCAUGUUUUCAGUCUUCAAAGCUUCACCUUUUUGGUUCCUUUUUCUCUUUGAACGUGUGGAUACGCUAAAAGUGGUGGAUUUAAGGAUGAAAAGCUAGGAGGUUUCAUGGGUAAUGACCAAUCAAGAUUGCAACAUCGCAGAAAAGUUUGUGACGCAAUUUAAGUGCUUGCAAUCAUCGUCUUCAACCUUGGUUUGUCUACAACUCAG